rnacentral:rRNA from 1 species
CGCCUGUUUAUCAAAAACAUCUCUUCUUGUUGAUUUUUUUGAAGUAUGGCCUGCCCACUGAUGAUAUUGAAGGGCCGCGGUAUUUUGACCGUGCAAAGGUAGCAUAAUCAUUAGUUCUUUAAUUGUGGACUGGUAUGAAUGGCUCGACGAGGUGCUGUCUGUCUUUGUUGGAAAUAUAUGGCGUAGAAUUUGGUGUCUUGGUAAGAAUGCCUAGAUUUUUUUAUGGGACGAGAAGACCCUAUAGAGUUUUACAUGGUUAUAUCCUUCUUUGGUUUGAUUUAUGGGUUUAAAUGUUGAGUUUAAUAUGUUUUGUUGGGGUGACAGGAGGAUAUAUUUAACUCCUCCUUUACUGUUUUUCAUUUAUUUAUGUUUUCUUGAUCCUUUAUUAUUGAUUAUAAGACAAAAUUACCUUAGGGAUAACAGCGUAA